UGGUAGAUGCACCCUGGUUAAGCCCUAGAAUCAAAUCUGGGGCAUUUUUUA
rnacentral:sRNA from 1 species